rnacentral:rRNA from 1 species
GACGUAGGGGGCCAGCGUUGUUCGGAAUUACUGGGUGUAAAGGGUUCGUAGGCGGUGUGGCAAGUCGGGGAGUGAAAUCUCUGGGCUCAACCCAGAGUCUGCUUCCGAAACUGCUGUGCUUGAGUGUGGGAGAGGCGCGUGGAAUUGCAGGUGUAGCGGUGAAAUGCGUAGAUAUCUGCAGGAACACCCGUGGCGAAAAGCGGCGCGCUGGACCACUACUGACGCUGAGGAACGAAAGCUAGGGGAGCAAACAGG